rnacentral:rRNA from 1 species
UACGAAGGGGGCUAGCGUUGCUCGGAAUUACUGGGCGUAAAGGGCGCGUAGGCGGCACUGUUAGUCAGGCGUGAAAGUCCUGGGCUCAACCUGGGAACUGCGCUUGAUACGGCAGAGCUAGAGGAUGGAAGAGGCUCGCGGAAUUCCCAGUGUAGAGGUGAAAUUCGUAGAUAUUGGGAAGAACACUGGUGGCGAAGGCGGCUCUCUGGACCGAGACUGACGCUGAGGCGCGAAAGCGUGGGGAGCAAACAGG